rnacentral:lncRNA from 1 species
ACCGCGAUAUCGGACCACUGGCCAGCUUUGUUGACAAGCGGGAAGAGGAAAAUUAACGUAGAGAGUAGAACCUGAAUAUGUGAUCUGCAGUGGCCCCCUCGGGUUGCAAUUCAUAUACAAAAGCCGAGUUUGGAACGUGAGCUCGAGGCAGGUGCAGUAGAUGUGGAGAUGACUGUGAACUUGAAGAUUUACAGAGUUGCCUGAGGACACUUAAAAGGAACCUGCUUUCUAUUGCAAUUGGAGUAAAAACAUUUGAAAUUGAGAAGGCUAAUUUGAAUUCAAGAACUUGGUUCAUUGUUAAUCAAUCAACGAAUCAAUCAACAAGUUUGGAAGGACCUAAGUGCUGGGCACUAUACUAAACCCUGGGGAUAGACAUAC